AUUGUACUCGCUCCGUCCAGAAAUACUUGUCAUUGAAAUGGAUGUAUCUAGAUGUAUUUUAGUUAUAGAUACAUCCAUUUUCAUCCAUUUUGAUGACAAGUAUUUCAGGACGGAGGGAGUACUAU
rnacentral:pre_miRNA from 1 species